rnacentral:rRNA from 1 species
CUACGUGCCAGCAGCCGCGGUAAUACGUAGGGUGCAAGCGUUAAUCGGAAUUACUGGGCGUAAAGCGUGCGCAGGCGGUUUGCUAAGACCGAUGUGAAAUCCCCGGGCUCAACCUGGGAACUGCAUUGGUGACUGGCAGGCUAGAGUAUGGCAGAGGGGGGUAGAAUUCCACGUGUAGCGGUGAAAUGCGUAGAGAUCUGGAGGAAUACCGGUGGCGAAGGCGGCCCCCUGGACAAAGACUGACGCUCAGGUGCGAAAGCGUGGGGAGCAAACAGGAUUAGAUACCCUGGUAGUCCACGCCCUAAACGAUGUCAACUAGUUGUUGGGGAUUCAUUUCCUUAGUAACGUAGCUAACGCGUGAAGUUGACCGCCUGGGGAGUACGGUCGCAAGAUUAAAACUCAAAGGAAUUGACGGGGACCCGCACAAGCGGUGGAUGAUGUGGAUUAAUUCGAUGCAACGCGAAAAACCUUACCUACCCUUGACA